rnacentral:tRNA from 1 species
GCCCCCGUAGCGUAACGGAUAGCGCACCAGCCUCCGGAGCUGGCGGUUCCAGUUCGAUUCUGGACGGGGGUG